GUCCUUGUAGCUUAACGAAAGCAUAACACUGAAGAUGUUAAGAUGGCUGCCACACACACCCAAGGACA
rnacentral:tRNA from 1 species